rnacentral:rRNA from 1 species
UGGGGAAUCUUAGACAAUGGGCGCAAGCCUGAUCUAGCCAUGCCGCGUGAUCGAUGAAGGCCUUAGGGUUGUAAAGAUCUUUCAGGUGGGAAGAUAAUGACGGUACCACCAGAAGAAGCCCCGGCUAACUCCGUGCCAGCAGCCGCGGUAAUACGGAGGGGGCUAGCGUUAUUCGGAAUUACUGGGCGUAAAGCGCACGUAGGCGGAUCGGAAAGUCAGAGGUGAAAUCCCAGGGCUCAACCCUGGAACU